rnacentral:rRNA from 1 species
AUGGGAGCUUACCUGCAGUCGAGCGGAUGAAGUAGCUUGCUACCGGAUUCAGCGGCGGACGGCCGAGUAAUGCUUAGGAAUCUGCCUAUUAGUGGGGGACAACGUUCCGAAAGGAGCGCUAAUACCGCAUACGUCCUACGGGAGAAAGCAGGGGACCUUCGGGCCUUGCGCUAAUAGAUGAGCCUAAGUCGGAUUAGCUAGUUGGUAGGGUAAAGGCCUACCAAGGCGACGAUCUGUAGCGGGUCUGAAAGGAUGAUCCGCCACACUGGGACUGAGACACGGCCCAGACUCCUACGGGAGGCAGAAGUGGGGAAUAUUGGACAAUGGGGGGAACCCUGAUCCUCCCUUGCCGCGGGUGUGAAGAAAGGCCUUUUUGGUUGUAAAGCCCUUUUAAGCGAGGGAGGGGGGCUACCUUACCUAUUCACUUCCAGGAUAGUGGGACGUUACUUCCUAAAAUAAAGAGCGGGCUAUAUUUUUGGCCAUGACCCCCCCCGCGAUAUAAACAAGGGGUGGAGAGGCCUUAUUACCGGAUAUUUUACGGGGGCUCAAAAGAUAGGUGGUAGUCCCGGGCCCAUUUUAAUUCCCAAAGUGGGGUAUCUCCCCCCCAAGUUUAAACUUUUGUGGUAUUUGUUUUAUUUUACUCACUCGGGUUUGGGUGUAUGCACCUAUGGGCUAAAUGGCAUAGGUUGAAAUAUUUCCCUGCGGGUUUUCCCCUAGAUAAAAGGCGAUCCUAAACAAUUUUGGGAGAUAAAAACCCCUAUUUGGGCGAAGAGAGGCUACCCAUCUUUUGGCUCUAUAUCCUAUGUAGUGCUUAAUGCGUCUCAAAAAGCCUUUGGGGGUUGUCAACCCCGAAUUAAUAAUCUCUCCU